AUUGAACGCUGGCGGCAUGCCUUACACAUGCAAGUCGAACGGCAGCACGGGUGCUUGCACCUGGUGGCGAGUGGCGAACGGGUGAGUAAUACAUCGGAACAUGUCCUGUAGUGGGGGAUAGCCCGGCGAAAGCCGGAUUAAUACCGCCUACGAUCUACGGAUGAAAGCGGGGGACCUUCCGGCCUCGCGCUAUAGGGUUGGCCGAUGGCUGAUUAGCUAGUUGGUGGGGUAAAGGCCUACCAAGGCGACGAUCAGUAGCUGGUCUGAGAGGACGACCAGCCACACUGGGACUGAGACACGGCCCAGACUCCUACGGGAGGCAGCAGUGGGGAAUUUUGGACAAUGGGCGAAAGCCUGAUCCAGCAAUGCCGCGUGUGUGAAGAAGGCCUUCGGGUUGUAAAGCACUUUUGUCCGGAAAGAAAACCUUGGCCCUAAUACGGUCGGGGGAUGACGGUACCGGAAGAAUAAGCACCGGCUAACUACGUG
rnacentral:rRNA from 1 species